rnacentral:rRNA from 1 species
GACGAACGCUGGCGGCGUGCCUAAUACAUGCAAGUAGAACGCACAGGAUGCACCGUAGUUUACUACACCGUAUUCUGUGAGUUGCGAACGGGUGAGUAACGCGUAGGUAACCUGCCUGGUAGCGGGGGAUAACUAUUGGAAACGAUAGCUAAUACCGCAUAAGAACAUUUACUGCAUGGUAGAUGUUUAAAAGGUGCAAAUGCAUCACUACCAAAUGGACCUGCGUUGUAUUAGCUAGUAGGUGAGGUAACGGCUCACCUAGGCGACGAUACAUAGCCGACCUGAGAGGGUGAUCGGCCACACUGGGACUGAGACACGGCCCAGACUCCUACGGGAGGCAGCAGUAGGGAAUCUUCGGCAAUGGGGGGAACCCUGACCGAGCAACGCCGCGUGAGUGAAGAAGGUUUUCGGAUCGUAAAGCUCUGUUGUUAAGGAAGAACGAGUGUGAGAAUGGAAAGUUCAUACUGUGACGGUACUUAACCAGAAAGGGACGGCUAACUACGUGCCAGCAGCCGCGGUAAUACGUAGGUCCCGAGCGUUGUCCGGAUUUAUUGGGCGUAAAGCGAGCGCAGGCGGUUAGAUAAGUCUGAAGUUAAAGGCAGUGGCUCAACCAUUGUAGGCUUUGGAAACUGUUUAACUUGAGUGCAGAAGGGGAGAGUGGAAUUCCAUGUGUAGCGGUGAAAUGCGUAGAUAUAUGGAGGAACACCGGUGGCGAAAGCGGCUCUCUGGUCUGUAACUGACGCUGAGGCUCGAAAGCGUGGGGAGCGAACAGG